AGUAGUUUAUCGCCUACAGAACUGAAUUAGUCCAUAGCAGUUAUCAGUUUUUCUUUCUUGGGAAGCUUAUACAUGUAACUUGUAUUGUUGUAAAUUGUGGGAGUAGGGCAGACAGGGAAAAGUCUUAUUUUGUACUGUUCCCAAGGCUCCCCAUGCAAUACAUUUAAAUGAAUUAUCCAAACAAAGCCGGGGACAAUGGAUAAAAGCCACAAGAAGAACAGAUAUAAGGGAACUAAAAUUAAAAUAUGAAAAGUAAACAUUUUAUAAGUGGAACAACCACCAGAUAUUUAAAAGGUAUAAAAAGAAGAAACUGCUGGAAUUUCAAAACAAAUGUGUUUGACUAGUAAAUAUUUGGAUAAAUAACAGGAGUUACUUUGGGCUAUAGCUACGUGCAGAUUUAUUUCCUUGUGGCUUCCUAUGUUAAUUCUUAUUAAUUAUACACUUAAAUAUGUUUUUAGUCUCAGGAAGAUUUUAUAUUUGAUUAUUUUUGAAUAAACAUUAUUAUUAUUAUUACCUUAAUUUCCAUUAAAUAAAUUAACUGUAAUCAAUAAAGUAAUCGUUUAAUUGUUAAUAAAUUAUCAAGUAUGA